rnacentral:rRNA from 1 species
UACGUAGGGGGCAAGCGUUGUCCGGAAUCAUUGGGCGUAAAGCGUGUGUAGGCGGAUCGUUAAGUACCUUGUGAAAUCCCACGGCUUAACCGUGGAACUGCCUGGUAUACUGGCGGUCUUGAGCCACUUAGGGGCUACCGGAACAAAUGGUGGAGCGGUGAAAUGCGUAGAUAUCAUUUGGAACGCCAAUGGUGAAAACAGGUAGCUGGGAGUGUGCUGACGCUGAGACACGAAAGCCAGGGGAGCAAACGGG